GCUGCAACUGUUUAUUAAAAACACAGCACUGUGCAAAAUCGUAAGAUGACGUAUACGGUGUGACGCCUGCCCGGUGCCGGAAGGUUAAUUGAUGGGGUUAGACUUCGGUCGAAGCUCUUGAUCGAAGCCCCGGUAAACGGCGGCCGUAACUAUAACGGUCCUAAGGUAGCGAAAUUCCUUGUCGGGUAAGUUCCGACCUGCACGAAUGGCGUAAUGAUGGCCACGCUGUCUCCACCCGAGACUCAGUGAAAUUGAAAUCGCUGUGAAGAUGCAGUGUACCCGCGGCUAGACGGAAAGACCCCGUGAACCUUUACUACAGCUUGGCACUGAACAUUGACCCUACAUGUGUAGGAUAGGUGGGAGGCUUUGAAGCACGUACGCCAGUAUGUGUGGAGCCGUCCUUGAAAUACCACCCUUGUAGUGUUGAUGUUCUAACGUCGACCCCUGAUCGGGGUUGCGGACAGUGCCUGGUGGGUAGUUUGACUGGGGCGGUCUCCUCCCAAAGAGUAACGGAGGAGCACGAAGGUGGGCUAAUCACGGUUGGACAUCGUGAGGUUAGUGCAAUGGCAUAAGCCCGCUUGACUGCGAGAAUGACAAUUCGAGCAGGUGCGAAAGCAGGUCAUAGUGAUCCGGUGGUUCUGAAUGGAAGGGCCAUCGCUCAACGGAUAAAAGGUACUCCGGGGAUAACAGGCUGAUACCGCCCAAGAGUUCAUAUCGACGGCGGUGUUUGGCACCUCGAUGUCGGCUCAUCACAUCCUGGGGCUGAAGUCGGUCCCAAGGGUAUGGCUGUUCGCCAUUUAAAGUGGUACGCGAGCUGGGUUUAGAACGUCGUGAGACAGUUCGGUCCCUAUCUGCCGUGGGCGUUGGAAGAUUGAAGGGGGCUGCUCCUAGUACGAGAGGACCGGAGUGGACGAACCUCUGGUGUUCGGGUUGUGUCGCCAGACGCAUUGCCCGGUAGCUAAGUUCGGAAUCGAUAACCGCUGAAAGCAUCUAAGCGGGAAGCGAGCCCUGAGAUGAGUCUUCCCUGAUACUUUAAGUAUCCUAAAGGGUUGUCGGAGACUACGACGUUGAUAGGUCAGGUGUGUAAGUGCUGUGAGGCAUUGAGCUAACUGAUACUAAUUGCCCGUGAGGCUUAACCAU
rnacentral:rRNA from 1 species